UUUUUAAAAAACAAAAAACUUUUGAGGCUAUAAAAACUAUAAAGUUUAUAGAGUUUAAAAGCAUUUAAAAAACUAGAAAUUUAGAUGCCAGCCAAAUCUUUUGUUUUUAAUCAUUUCAGAUUUUGUUCGGUGGAAAAUUCUAUAACUCAAAAUCUAUCCGAGAAUUCCAAAAUCUAUUUUGCCGAUUCUAACAAUUAUUUUUUUUGCCACAACACUGUAAUUGCUAUGAAAAAAAUUCUUUUCCUUAAUUUUGAGAUUUCAAUUUCAGUCACGUUAUGAAAUAAAUUAAUUGUUUAAUUUUAUUGCCUCGGUAUUUAUCUGCGAAUGAUUUCCGAUGGGUAUUCCUUUUUUCCUCGAUGACUUCACUGAAAAGGACGAAUGAAAGAAAAAAAAAAUUCAAAUAAAAUCCAAGAACAUUGAAUCCACCUCAAAGGAUUUUGCAUACCAAACCAUUAAAACCUAUAGCUUUUUUGCUUGGUGGAUUCUAAUAAUAAAAAAAAAUAUGAUAUCCUCGAAAGUAAUUUAUAAGUAAGCCAUAGCGCUAGAUAAAUCCAAACCCAGUCACCCUCAACAUUACCAAGGGAUUCAUUCCGCUAUAAAAAAUCUUUGUUUAGCUGUAAAAACAAAAUGAAGAAAAAAAUAUAAAAAAAAACAACAACAACAACUAUCAACAAACCGGAAACAAAAUAGAAUCAAAUAACUAGUGGAAAUCGAUUUAUGCAUUUGGACUCUCGACUCCUUUUAUAUUCUUUUGUUGGAGGCGGAGCGGCGGCGGGGGUUGUCGGUGGCCGGUGGUGAUGGCCUAUAUUUUUGGAGGCAUGUUAUGUAAAUGCAAUUCGUCGACAGUUGUGGCUUGGCUGUCGUUAUCACGAACAAAAAUGUUUAUGAAAGUUCAUAAUUCAACGAAUAACGAAUUUGAAAAUCGAGCAAAAAAAAAACCGCCUUGUGUGCUUUUCUAUACAUGGGAGUAGCCAUGAAGAAGACUGUGGAACUGCAGUUGCAGUAGCAGUAUAGAAAAAAGUAUGAUAGCCGGGUGCAAUUUAUGUUGUAGACAUAUGGUCUUUCAUUUGCUCUGGCUUAAGGCAUGGCACACAAAACCCAAGCGCACAGAAAUGUAUGUACAAGAACCAAAGUAGAGACGGAAGCCUAGUUAUCCUCUGGAAAAAUAAACAUUCCAAAAGGAGAAAAGUCACAUCUUUAUAUAAGGGCUUUGAAUACACUUUCCUGCUUUCAAUUUUUAUUUGCUUGGUUUUAUUAUCAAAAGAAAUAGUAUGCCAUUAUUAGUGACGAGACGACCUUUGCCAUAGCAAAGCCGCUGUAUGGUCGUUUUUGAAAACUUUUAUCAGUCAAUUGAAGGCACAGAUAAAUUAUGAACAUUUUCUGAUUGAUGUGACAAAAGUCGGUUUAACCUACUAAAUAUACCUUCACCUAGGCAUUAAUCCAGAAGAUUUUCGAAUCAAUGUCACUUGGUCGUUUUUCCCCACUGGUCAUGGAAAAGGAGCAGUAGAUCAAUUAAUUCAAUCUCACCAAGGUGUUAUUAAUUGCCUGUUAUGAUUUUUCAAAGAAUAUAAAGAAUUUAAACGAAUUCAAUCAUGUGUAUGAUCAAAAAUUCACAUAUAAAAUCAAAAUCUUUCAAUUUGAAAUUUCAAAAAUGAUGUAAAAAUAUAAAUGCUACAAAAAGUCUUCAAUGCCAAGCACACUGGAUUGAACUUGAAGCACAGUUAUUUUCCAAACUUGAAAUAAAGUUGCUUAAAAAUACAUCGAGUCAGUUAUACUAACUUAGAUUCUGAGUCACACCCGUUACAUCUAAAGUAAAGUGAUUGUGAUGUUACAAGAUAAAAUAACGAAAACACAAUAUCCCUUGAGUUUAAAAGUGAUCCGGGUUCACCUCAGAAAUCUGAGGUAAGCCUCACAAUUUUGUACUGUUUCAAUUCUAAGGCCAACUAAAAGCAAUACUUUUUGCAUUUACUUACACCAUAAGCUUUUAAGGCCUGCCUUUCUUCUUAGUUCGCGGUCGGAUCGGAUCAAUGUAUGAUAUUGCCUUUUUGAUGGCAUCCUCCAGAAUCUCUCUUUUGAACAAUACACUCCUGCUGUCAUGCGAAAAUCACGAAUAUUUUUAUAAAAUAAAAAGUAUGUUAAAGACAUUUCAGUCAUUCAUAUAAAAUUUUUGUGUCAUUUCACUUCUGUACCUAUUUUAAUGAAAAUACAGAUUCUAGUAAAAUGUCAUUUUGAUAAUGAUUGUAUGUUGCCGCUUUUUCUAAACUCAUUACAACAAAACUCACUCGUCACGUUAAAAUGUUCCAAUUGCUGCUAUUAAAUAAAUAUGACACAGACAAUUACUUUGAUAGAUAUUACUGUA